rnacentral:rRNA from 1 species
CACGUAGGGUGCGAGCGUUGUCCGGAAUUAUUGGGCGUAAAGAGCUCGUAGGCAGUGUGUCGCGUCGGCCGUGAAAACCUGCAGCUUAACUGUGGGCUUGCGGUCGAUACGGGGCAUCACUGGAGUUCGGCAGGGGAGACUGGAAUUCCUGGUGUAGCGGUGAAAUGCGCAGAUAUCAGGAGGAACACCGGUGGGCGAAGGCGGGGUCUCUGGG